rnacentral:hammerhead_ribozyme from 1 species
AUUCAGCUUAUGAGUCCCAAAUAGGACGAUACGAGAGUCUUGGAU